rnacentral:rRNA from 1 species
CCUCCUACGGGGGGAAGCAGUGGGGAAUAUUGCACAAUGGGGGGAACCCUGAUGCAGCGACGCCGCGUGAGUAAAGAAGUAUUUCGGUAUGGAAAGCUCUAUCAGCAGGGAAGAAAAUGACGGUACCUGACUAAGAAGCCCCGGCUAACUACGUGCCAGCAGCCGCGGUAAUACGUAGGGGGCAAGCGUUAUCCGGAUUUACUGGGUGUAAAGGGUGCGUAGGUGGCAGGGCAAGUCAGAAGUAAAAU